rnacentral:lncRNA from 10 species
GUGUGCUAUGAGGUGCAAAGUAAGUUGUUACCAAUAACUCAAAGAACUCCAGUUUGCAAAUGUUUUACUUUUACUUAAGAGAAUCUUUGCGGGAGAAUUAAAACCAAUUAAUUCCCACCACUGGCCAAGAGCUCAUGCUGUAAUUAUCCAAGACAGAAUAGCUCAACAGAAAACCAAGUCAUGCAAUUCUGAGCACUUGUCCUUGGGAUGCCACUUUGGGGCUCCCAUAUCUGAAAUCAUUUUGUUCUCAGUCCACCUGUGUGACAUUUCUGUCCUGCUCAGCCACGGGUUCACAAUAAUCAAGGGAAUGACCCAAGGGAUUCACUUCUUCCAAGCAGCCGAUGCCUUUGGAAGUUAUGUUGACAUUGCUUGUUUAAACCUAGGGCAAGAAAUCCUUUCUCUGCCAGACCUGACUCUUCAGGCACACUCCUCAGUUUGGAGACGUGACUUGCCAUGUAGUACUGAGAGGGAAAACAGGCCAGAAACAGCCUUGUUGAAAACUUCUUUUCUGCUUAGCUGCCCUCUGAACAGUCACCAUAAAGAUUGUGAGGUGCUGGAGCCAGGGAUGACCUCAUAAAGCCCUUUGCUAAAUACUUAGUGAGCUGGUACUGUGGGCCAGGCACUGUGCUCAUCAUGAACAAAACCAAGGCAGACAACACUGUCAUUAAUGGAGCUUAUCAUGUAAUACGGAAGCCUGGGAUAAGCAACAAAUUACACAAGUGACAAAUGUGAUGAGUGCUGUGAAGCAGAGUGCGGGGUGCCCAGGGAAUCAGCAGAGCCCUGGAGGAUAACAGCCUGAGCUCCAGGAAGGAAGGUUGUGGUGGUGCUUAGGGUCAGAGUGGGGACAAGCAUUCCAAGCAAAGGGAAAAGCACAUACACAUGCUAUAUUAGUCAGGUUUCUCUAGAGGGACAGAACUAACAGGAUAGAUGUAUAAAUGAGGGGGAGCUUAUUAAGUAGUAUUGACUUGCAUGAGCACAAGGUGAAGUCCCACAAUAGGCUGUCUGCAAGCCGAAGAGCAGGGAAGCCAGUCCGAGUCCCCAAACCUCAAAAGUAGGGAAGCUGACAGUGCAGCCUUCUGAAGGCCCCAGAGCCCCCGGCAAACUGCUGGUGUAAAUCCAAGAGUCCAAAAGCUGAAGAACUUGGAGUCUGUUGUUCGAGGGCAGGAAGUAUCCAGCACGAGAGAAUGAUGAAGGCUGGAAGACUCAGCAAGUCUACUCCUUCCAUGUUCCUCUGUGUGCUUUUAUUCUGGCUGUGCUGGCAGCUGAUUAGAUGGUGCCCGCCCAGAUUGAGGGUGGGUCUGCCUCUCCCAGUCCACUGACUCAAAAGUUAAUAUCUUUGGCAACACCCUCACAGACACAUCCAGGAACAAUAGUUUGCAUCCUUCAAUCUAAUCAAGUUGACACCUAAUAUUAACCAUCAUACAUCCCCUCCAUGGGAAGGAGCAUGAUGCCUUAUAUAGUCUACUACCCUCAAACCAAUCCUACUCCCUCAUCCCCAACACCUUCUUUUCUUCAAGUGUAAAAUGAGAGAUUGGAUGGAUCAGAAGAUUCAGGCCUCCUUGAAAAUCCCCAUGGGUGAACCCCAACACACAGGCUAUUCAGCCAGCAGCCCCAAGUCCUUUAUGAAAAGCCAAGGUUGAUUGAAACUCUCCCUUCUCAGGAGAGAAACUAGAGGCAAAGCUUCCUCAUCAGCAGAGAUAAACUUGGCAGGAGCCAAUUCAGGUACCAGUAAAGGAUAUCUUCUUCUGCAGGCCAGCCUCCCUCUCUCCAGCUUGGUUCAAUCCUGCAUUCAUUGACACUGCACUUCUAUAAGCCCUUAGAACUCUGGGAAUUCUCUCCUAGUUUUCCUAGGUAUGCUUGCUGUUUCUACAUGGGUUUCCUGUGAAUGACCAGACCAAUAAUCAAAUGCCUCCAGGACCCAUAACACAAAUGAGAAGAGUUCUCUCAUUAUGACAGGUAGGACCAUGGCCAACUCAGGGCUCGUGCUUGAUCGAAGGGGAUCUGUGUUAGUCAGCAUUCUCCAGAGAAAUGGAACCCAUUGGAUAGAUAUGUAAAGAGAUUUAUUAUGGGAGUUGGCUCAUGCAAUUGUGGAGUCCUAGAAGACCCACCACCUCCUGUCUGCAAGCUGGAGAAACAGCAAAGCCAGUGACGUAAUUAAGUCUGAAUCCAAAGGCAUAAGAUCAAGGAGAACUGAUGGUGUAAGUCCCAAAGUCCAAAGGCUUGAGAACCAGGAGCUCUGAUAUCUAAGGGAAGAUGUCCCAGCUCCGGAAGACAGAAUUCACCCUUCCUCUGCCUUUUGUUUUAUUUGAGCCCUCAAUGGGCUGGAUGAUGCCUAUUCACAUUGGUGAGGGUGGAUCUUCUUUACUCAGUCUACUGAUUAACACCUGUUCCAGAAACGCCCUCACAGGCACACCCAGAGAUAUUGUUUUCCCAGCUAUCUGGGCACCCCUUAGCCCAGUCAAAUCAACACAUAAAAUUAAUCAUCAUAGGCUCUAAGUUCUACUUAGCUCCAACCAGUUGGAGUCAUUUUGGAAUAAGUGUAAAGUGUUUUCAGAUAUUCUGAUCUUACAAGUGAAGCUGGAAAUUAGCAUUUUUAAGUAAAGAUGACUCAAUUAAGAAAAAACAAAAACAAAAACCAUGGCACGAGCAGAAGACGGUGCAUCAGAUUCAGGCCUGUGGUUGCUGGUUGGUUACCUGUGGGUGUAAGCAAAGUACUGGGUCCUUUCCCAUUCUAGACUAUAUUUACAAAAUCAGUAAUGCUUAGCUAUGCAUUCUUUCAUUUAACAAUUAUUUGUCAACUACCAUGAGCUGGUAUUAUGUAGAAUGCUGGUAAAAUAGAUAACUAAGACCCAACACAUGUGUAAAUGAGAAUGAGUGUGAUAUAAUCAAUGUCUCCUGGGCUAGGUGUCUCUUUUUUGCUUCCACAGCACCUGUGUAUACUUCCAUUAUGGCAUGUAACAUGCUGGCAAGAAAUUGAUUCAUUGGGUUGUGUCUUCUCAGCUGCCUGAAGAAUGAAAUCAUAUACUCUAGUUUCAUAUGCCCAGCAUUGUACACAACUUGACACAUCACAGCAGCUCUAGGAAAGCACAUAGGCUGACAACUGAGUGAACAACCCACUGACUGUGUGUCGUUCAGGGUUGGGAAAGCAAGGGCAGGUCUCUGUGCCCCAUCUCUAGCUUUUCCUCAACUUAGGCUUUAUAAACCCUUGCAUCAAAAAAUAAAAGCUAAGGCUAAUUGUUUCAAAUUAGGCUAUCUUAUUUCUACCCAGUAACUUCCCCACCACCAAGAAAGGAGUAAUUUAAAGGAGCAAACUGUAGAAAUAAAUAGGAAUAAAAGCAUUACCUCUGAAAGCCAAGGCCAUUAAUUCAUUAAAAAAAAAAAAAAAAUCAAAGCCCGGGCGUGGUGGCUCAUGCCUGUAAUCCCAGCACUUUGGGAGGCUGAGGUGGGUGUAUCACCUGAGGUUAAGAGUUUAGACCAGCCUGGCCAAUGUGGUGAAACCCCAUCUCUACUAAAAAUACAAAAAAGUUAGCCAGGCGUGGUGGCAGGUGCCUGUAAUCCCAGCUACUCGGGAGGCUGAGGCAGGAGAAUCGCUUGAACCUGGGAGGCAGAGGUUGCAGUAUGUCGAGAUCACACUAUUUACAUUCCAGCCUGGGCAACGAGAGCAAAACUCCAUCUAAAAAAAAAAAAUCAAGAUGAAUAACAUACUCUUAUGUAACAGGUGAAAGUCUUAAAGGACUUAAAGGAAAGUCUUAAAGUAAAGUCUUAAAGGACUUCACUUCAUGUGUGAAUUCUCAGUGUAAUGGAAAAUCCAUUGGUUUAGGAAUCAGAUCACCUGG